GACGUAGGGUGCAAGCGUUAAUCGGAAUUACUGGGCGUAAAGCGUGCGCAGGCGGUUUUGUAAGACAGAUGUGAAAUCCCCGGGCUCAACCUGGGAACUGCAUUUGUGACUGCAAGGCUAGAGUGCGUCAGAGGGAGGUGGAAUUCCGCGUGUAGCAGUGAAAUGCGUAGAUAUGCGGAGGAACACCGAUGGCGAAGGCAGCCUCCUGGGAUGACACUGACGCUCAUGCACGAAAGCGUGGGGAGCAAACAGGAUUAGAUACCCUGGUAGUCCACGCCCUAAACGAUGUCAACUAGUUGUCGGGGAUUCAUUUCCUUGGUAACGCAGCUAACGCGUGAAGUUGACCGCCUGGGGAGUACGGCCGCAAGGUUAAAACUCAAAGGAAUUGACGGGGACCCGCACAAGCGGUGGAUGAUGUGGAUUAAUUCGAUGCAACGCGAAAAACCUUACCUACGCUUGACAUGUCAGGAACUUUCCAGAGAUGGAUUGGUGCCCGAAAGGGAACCUGAACACAGGUGCUGCAUGGCUGUCGUCAGCUCGUGUCGUGAGGUGUUAGGUUAAGUCCCGCAACGAGCGCAACCCUUAUCAUUAGUUGCUACGCAAGGGCACUCUAAUGAGACUGCCGGUGACAAACCGGAGGAAGGUGGGGAUGACGUCAAGUCCUCAUGGCCCUUAUGUGUAGGGCUUCACACGUCAUACAAUGGUCGGUACAGAGGGUCGCCAACCCGCGAGGGGGAGCCAAUCCCAGAAAGCCGAUCGUAGUCCGGAUUGCAGUCUGCAACUCGACUGCAUGAAGUCGGAAUCGCUAGUAAUCGCGGAUCAGCAUGUCGCGGUGAAUACGUUCCCGGGUCU
rnacentral:rRNA from 1 species